CCUACGGGUGGCUGCAGUGGGGAAUAGUGCACAAUGGGGGAAACCCUGAUGCAGCGACGCCGCGUGAGCGAUGAAGGAUGUCGGGAGGGAAAGCGCUAUCAGCAGGGAAGAAGAUGACGGUACCUGACUAAGAAGCCCCGGCGAACUACGUGCCAGCAGCCGCGGUAAUACGGAGGGGGCAAGCGUUAUCCGGAUUUACUGGGUGUAAAGGGAGCGUAGACGGCGCUGCAAGCCAGAUGUGAAAGCCCGGGGCUCCACCCCGUGCCUGCAUUUGGAACUGUGUGGCUGGAGUGUCGGAGUGGCAGGCGGAAUUCCUCGUGUAGCGGUGACAUGCGUAGAUAUUAGGCGGAACCCCAGUGGCGCCGGCGGCCUGCUGGACGCUGCCUGCCGUUGAGGCUCGAACGCGUGUGGAGCAAACAGGCUUCGAUACCCGGGUAGUC
rnacentral:rRNA from 1 species